UACGUAGGGUGCAAGCGUUGUCCGGAAUUAUUGGGCGUAAAGAGCUCGUAGGCGGUCUGUUACGUCGGCUGUGAAAACCUGGGGCUCAACCCCGGGCCUGCAGUCGAUACGGGCAGACUAGAGUGCGGUAGGGGAGACUGGAAUUCCUGGUGUAGCGGUGAAAUGCGCAGAUAUCAGGAGGAACACCGGUGGCGAAGGCGGGUCUCUGGGCCGUAACUGACGCUGAGGAGCGAAAGCGUGGGGAGCGAACAGG
rnacentral:rRNA from 1 species